GACGUAGGGCGCGAGCGUUGUCCGGAUUUAUUGGGCGUAAAGAGCUCGUAGGCGGCUUGUCGCGUCGACUGUGAAAACCCGCGGCUCAACCGUGUGGUCUGCAGUCGAUACGGGCAGGCUGGAGUUCGGUAGGGGAGACUGGAAUUCCUGGUGUAGCGGUGAAAUGCGCAGAUAUCAGGAGGAACACCGGUGGCGAAGGCGGCUUCCUGGACAAAAACUGACGCUGAGGCGCGAAAGCUAGGGGAGCAAACAGG
rnacentral:rRNA from 1 species